AGGAUCGGCCUCCUCGUGCGCGACCGGCUCCACCACCACCACCUACGCCGCUUACUGGCGGCCCAGUGAAAUGGAGGAGAAGUCCUCGGCUCGGUUCUCCGAGUACUUGUUCGCCAAGAUGGAUGGCCAGGACGUGUCGGCCUCUCAGGGUCCCCGUAAGGUGACCGCCGACACCAGAAAGUUCGUGCGAGAGAAUCUUCUUCUCGUGGUUACCCUUUCCGGUGUCUUGUUCGGCGUGAUACUCGGGUUCGGUUUACGACCCUUGGGCCUCGGCGAUGACGCAAUUAUGUUAAUCAGUUAUCCUGGAGAGCUCUUCAUGAGGUUGUUAAAGUUAAUGAUCCUACCGCUGGUGAUUGCCAGUCUUAUAUCAGGCUCGGCGAGCCUGAACGCAAGAAUGAACGGGAUGAUCGCCGUCCGAACUUUGGUGUACUUUAUACUCUCGUCAUUGCUGAACGCUGUCCUUGGUGUUGUCCUGGUUCUGCUCAUUCAUCCGGGUAAUCCUGGAAUUAGAAAAUCGAUCGCGACCUCGCACAGCGGGAGAGCCGUUAACAUCUUGGACAGCCUUCUCGAUUUGGGAAGAAAUAUGUUUCCGGAUAAUAUUUUCCAAGCAGCCUUUCAACAGGCGCACACGGUAUACGUUCCAAAAACGCCGCCCUUUCGAAAUCUCACCGACUCGAUAUCCUCGGAUGUCCUCGGGGACGAGGAAUUGAUGAGAGUAACGCAAUACAGAAGCGGCACCAACACGUUGGGAAUCGUGUUCUUCUGCCUGGUGUUUGGUACAUUCCUAGGUACGCUCGGCGAGAAAGGUCAAAUAGUAAUCGACUUCUUCAAAGCUGUGUUCGAAGUCAUCAUGAGGAUGGUGUCGACCGUGAUGUGGAUGACACCGGUUGGCAUCACUUCCGUGAUAGCUGGGAAAAUACUGGGCGUCGCUGACUUGGCACUGGUGAUGUCGCAGCUAGCCUGGUUCAUCGUCACGAUCGUGAUCGGUGUGUUUUUCUAUCAGCUGGUGAUCAUGCAGCUGAUCUAUUUGGCCUUCGUGAGAAAGAACCCCUUUAAAUUCUACGCCGGCCUCGCCCAGGGUACUCUCACCGCCUUCGCCAUGGCAUCAACGGCCGCCGCACUUCCGGUCACAUUUCGUCUGAUGACGGACAAGCUUCGGGUCGACCCGAGGGUCACCAGGUUCGUUCUACCGAUCGGUUGCAACAUUAACAUGGACGGGACAGCGCUGUUCGUCGCUGUGGCCAGCAUAUUUAUCGCGCAGAUGCAUGGCAUCGUCUUGGGCUUCGGUGAAAUUAUAACCGUUAUUUUGACUUCUACCGCUGCGUCCGUGUCAUCGGCGUCAGUUCCAAGCGCCGCUCUGGUCCUCCUUCUCGUCGUUCUGAGCGCCAUCGAUGCUCCGGUCUACAACGUCUCGCUGCUCUUCACCAUCGAUUGGUUCGUAGAUCGUAUUCGAACCACGAAUAACAUGUUGGGCGAUUGUUACGCCGCUGCUGUGGUCGAGCAACUGUCGAAGAAGGAAUUGAUGGCGUUGGACGCGGCAGCUUAUCAAUCGGAGACCGUUUUGCCGACAACCAUCGCAAACGGAUGCAUUUCCGCCAACAGGGUACCUGAUCCUGAUACCAUCGUCGUCGAGAUGCAAGACGACUCGAGGAUAGCCGGCGUCGCCAAGUAAACAAGCUUGUUGGUAGGGCUAGGCUAUCACUUUGUAAGAUUCCAACGAUCGCGCGCAUUUUCGUUACGUCUUUUAUUAAUUCUGCUUUGCUACCGCAACACACUCGUGCAAAACCGUUGACAUUUACGAACGAUUCGUGGCAAGCUUUCAUCAUGCAUCAGCGUAUUGCAGAUACCGAGGAGCGUGACGGAAGAGACAGUUUGACCUGUGGUUCACUCCGAAAGUUAGUUUAGCUAUAAAUACACCAUCGAGUGCGAUGCGUUCAACAACGGGGAUCAAAGAAACAAUACACCGGCUACACACGAGUGUCAUCCUUUUUGUCGCACCAUGUUUUCUACUCUCGCAGAAUACGUUAACACGUAAGGGAUAAAAUGUCAUUGCAACCUUAACCGAUAUCAAACUUACAGUCAAUAUGAAAGGGUGCGUUAUGCGAUUACCGGGACACGUUUGGACGCUAUCAUCGGCUAGGAUUAACUGACGGCGAGGAGCGUAAACUACUAUAUAGGCUUUCGUAGUGGCUUGCUCGAGCUGAAAAGCGAAAAUCGCGAAAUCACCGAUUCGAUUGCACUCUGGAGUAUUAACGAUCGCGUGAACAGCGUCGGAUGUGGUGCCUUAUUUUAACGCGGUGUAUAAAUGGCCGCGAAACAGUAGAAAAAUGCUCUUUUCGUUUGCCAAGCAUAGAGCAGCGUUGACUCAUUGCCUGGUAAAUAUAUCUUCCGUGACCGAUCGUUGUACUGCCACAAAAUCUUUUGUACAGUGUGAAUUUUACGAGUCAAUGAAACGAUUUUACGAACCAUUAACCUAACCUUUUUCAUUAUCAGACAAUGAGUGAGACUUUGCACGGCGCCACGAUGACUUUGUGACGCUUGAUCGAUGUCCCUUCUAUAUGUAAUAUAUAUACCGGAUUUUGAUCGAUUGUUGACAAUUACGUGGAAGAAUAUCGGAACGUUAGUAAUGUUAUAAUGCCACAUUUGGUGUAGCGUUAGGAACGUUGUGAUACGAAUCGAUUAGCACGAGUCACCAAUAUAGUAAUCACAAACGUAUAUCAAGUCAUCGGUUAACGUUUGAUAGAUAUAACGUCGUUGAAACACUACCAACACGUAGACGAAACAUUUCGAAUGAAAGUGUAGGUUCCUUGUAGCUUCUACCGUACUGAAUUUCACUUUUGGACCAUCGACAAACGCUAGAUCGGUGCACAGAAAUCUCGGCUGACGAGAGAGAUCCGCCAUAUACGAUCGACGACAUAUUUGCCCGAGAUAUCUGAUGAAGGUAUCGCAUCUACGAUAAUUCUGCCUCUGUGUUUUCCGAUUUACCCGUAGGCCAACUUACAUUUCAAGUUAAAGUUGUCGACUUUGUAAACACGUCUGAAAAAGUAAAAGCGGAAAAAGCAAAAAAAUGGAAAAAAACCACGAGAAAACGAAGAAAAAAGAAAGAAGACAUAGCGCUCGCCAAGGAGCAAUUUCAAGACUGGACAUGCCAUUUGAAUUACCAUGUAUUCAAUCGUUAUAGGAGAAUUCUGAAAAGGGUUCACUAAUUUUAGGCACUAGAGACGUAGGUCGAUACGUGUUCUCUCGUAGAGACUGUUUAAAUGUACAAAUUAACUGGAUAAAUAGUGCUUGGUAGUGAGCUCUACGUCGCUUCAGAACCACGCUCGGUUUCAUCUCGAGGGACUUGGUAUAAUUUUCGCAGCUUCGUCGCUCUCUUUUCGUCCAGAGGAUUUUGCUUUCUUAGCUUUCUCCCCCGGUUGUUGCGUUCUUGUUGCGUCGGCCCCUUUACUUUCCAGUUUCGCCGUAGUACCAGUGUUCGCGUACCCCUCCGUUCAUAAUUUACGUUUCGAUAGCGUAUACGAAAAGGCGCUUUGUUUGUAGUCUGAUAACCCGAAGAGGAGAAUAGAGAAAGAAUUUAUCAAAAUACUUCAAAGACUACGUGUGAAUAUACUUAUAAGGC
rnacentral:misc_RNA from 1 species